UACAGAAGUCUCAAGCGUUGUUCGGAUUCAUUGGGCGUAAAGGGUGUGUAGGUGGCGCGCUAAGUCGGGUGUGAAAUUUCGGAGCUUAACUCCGAAACUGCAUUCGAUACUGGCGUGCUUGAGGACUGGAGAGGAGACUGGAAUUCAUGGUGUAGCAGUGAAAUGCGUAGAGAUCAUGAGGAAGACCAGUGGCGAAGGCGGCUAUCUGGACGGUUUCUGACACUAAGACACGAAAGCGUGGGGAGCAAACAGG
rnacentral:rRNA from 1 species